rnacentral:misc_RNA from 1 species
AUAGAAAUCUUACCUUUAAAAAGCGAAAGUAGACACUCCUCCAACGUCAACAACUUUUAUUUUCAUAAUAUCAAAUAAUACGGCAUUUAGAUGGAUGCUCAAGCCCCUGAUCAAAAUGGCUCACAUCAAAAGCCUCUUCACAUAAAAACUCCAGCUAUCUUGAGCACACCUCUGUCCAAAUGCGCUGGAUUACAAGUUUACCUCAAACUAGAAAAUCUGCAAGUUCCAGGGAGCUUCAAGAUUAGGGGAAUCGGAAACUUAUGUCAAAAGGCAAGUUCUUUCAUAAGUACAUGAACAGUAUUCAAUGUCACCUUUUUUUGGAGAUCAAAUGGCAAACAGCUUCAUACAUAAAUUUUGUAUCUUGUCACAAUUAGAGAUCGAUAUCAUUAUGUUGGUCUUAUUUAUUUUUGUUGUUGAUAAUGACACCAGGCUGUAUCCAAAGGCUGUAAGAGGGUGGUAUGUGCCUCAGGUGGAAAUGGAGGUUUAGCAGCUGCUUAUGCUGCUCGACUUCUCAAUCUCCCAGCAACCAUUGUUCUCCCUACAACUACACCAGAUUUUGUGGCAGAAAAACUGAGAGACCAGAGUUCCAUAUGAGGAUGAACAUUUUUACAUGUAGGAUUAGGUCUUUUUUGUACUGCAAGAGUUAUCUUUCUUCUCAAGGAAGCAACCGUGGAAGUCCAUGGCAGUGUUUGGGAUGAAUCAAAUCAAUAUGCUAUGACUCUUGCCAAAGAUCCAGACUGUCUGUAUGUUCAUCCUUUUGAUCAUCCAGAUGUAUGGGAGGGACAUGAAUCCUUGAUAGUGGAGGUCAAACAGCAGCUGCCCUGCCCACCUGAUGUUGUGGUGGCUUCAGUAGGUGGUGGGGGACUUUUGUGUGGGGUCAUACAAGGGAUGCAGAGAGUUGGAUGGGGCCACAUCCCUGUGGUGGCAAUGGAGACUGAAGGAGCAGACUGUCUGAAUGUGUCACUGAGAGAAAACAAGGUGGCAACCAUUCCAGCAAUUACAAGUUCUGCAAAAAGCCUUGGUGCUCUUACUCCAUGCACACAAGUGUUUGAAUUAUGCAAGAAGUAUAAAGUUAUAUCAAAGCUUUGUACAGACAAACAAGCAGUUGAUGCUUGUCUGAAAUAUGCAGAUGACCAUCGACAGUUGGUGGAACCCGCAUGUGGUGCCAGUUUGGCUGCUGUCUAUAGUGGCAUCCUCAAUGACCUUCAAGCUCAAGGUCAACUUGGUGAAAUAAAGUCUGCACUAAUUGUCGUCUGUGGGGGUAGUUCAGUGACUCUGGAUGCUCUUAGUAAAUGGAAGAAAGAUUUUGAAUUAUAACAUGAUUUUAGUGGCUUUUAAAGGAACAGGUGUUGGAUUUAGUGAUAUCCUAGACAUAGUAGUGGUAUCUAUACAUAAUUUGGGUUUUUAUUCUGUGAUAUUUCACCCAGGAGCAGCUACAGUUUAUUUUGAGUUUUAUUUGUGAAUCAGAGUGGGAGAUUUGUUUUGAAUAAAUAUCUUAAAAUGG